GGCCCCGUCGUCUAGCCCGGCCCAGGACAUCACCCUUUCAAGGUGCAGACACGGGUUCGAAUCCCGUCGGGGCUACCA
rnacentral:tRNA from 1 species